rnacentral:rRNA from 1 species
GAUGUACGCUGGCGGCGUGCCUAAUACAUGCAAGUCGAGCGAAUGGAUUAAGAGCUUGCUCUUAUGAAGUUAGCGGCGGACGGGUGAGUAACACGUGGGUAACCUGCCCAUAAGACUGGGAUAACUCCGGGAAACCGGGGCUAAUACCGGAUAACAUUUUGAACCGCAUGGUUCGAAAUUGAAAGGCGGCUUCGGCUGUCACUUAUGGAUGGACCCGCGUAGCAUUAGCGAGUUGGUGAGGUAACGGGUCACCAAGGCAACGAUGCGUAGCUGACCGGAGAGGGUGAUCUGCCACACUGGGACUGCGACACGGCCCAGACUCCUACGGGAGGCAGCAGUAGGGAAUCUUCCGCAAUAGACGAAAGUCUGACGGAGCAACGCCGCGUGAGUGAUGAAGGCUUUCGGGUCGUAAAACUCUGGUGUUAGGGAAGAACAAGUGCUAGUUGAAUAAGCUGGCACCUUGACGGUACCUAUCCAGAAAGCCACGGCUAACUACGUGCCAGCAGCCGCGGUAA